UACAGAGGUCUAGAGCGUUAGGCGGAAUCACUGGGCUUAAAGCGUGUGUAGGCGGGUCGGUAAGUACCUUGUGAAAUCCCACGGCUCAACCGUGGAACUGCUGGGUAUACUGCCGAUCUUGUGCAACCUAGGGGCGAGCGGAACAGAUGGUGGAGCGGUGAAAUGCGUAGAUAUCAUCUGGAACGCCAAUGGUGAAAACAGCUCGCUGGGGGUUUGCAGACGCUGAGACACGAAAGCCAGGGGAGCGAACGGG
rnacentral:rRNA from 1 species